GUGCUCGCUUCGGCGGCACAUGUACUAAAAUUGAAACUAUACAGAGAAGAUUAGCAUGGCUCCUGCACAAGGAUGAC
rnacentral:snRNA from 1 species